rnacentral:rRNA from 1 species
CGGCAUGCCUAACACAUGCAAGUCGAACGAGAAAGUUCCUUCGGGAGCGAUUAAAGUGGCGCACGGGUGAGUAACGCGUAGACAAUCUGCCCUUCAGUCUGGGACAACUUUUCGAAAGGAGAGCUAAUACCGGAUGACAAUGUAACACAUAAGUGUCACAUUUGAAAGCUCCGGCGCUGAAGGAGGGGUCUGCGUCCCAUUAGCUAGUUGGUAAGGUAAAGGCUUACCAAGGCGACGAUGGGUAGCGGGUUUGAGAGGACGAUCCGCCACACUGGAACUGAGACACGGUCCAGACUCCUACGGGAGGCAGCAGUGGGGAAUAUUGCACAAUGGAGGCAACUCUGAUGCAGCAAUGUCGCGUGAGUGAAGAAGGCCCUUGGGUCGUAAAGCUCUUUUAUGGGGGAAGAUGAUGACGGUACCCCAAGAAUAAGCACCGGCUAACUACGUGCCAGCAGCCGCGGUAAUACGUAGGGUGCGAGCGUUGUUCGGAAUUACUGGGCGUAAAGGGCGCGCAGGCGGAAUAGUAAGUCGGAGGUGAAAGCCCGGGGCUCAACCCCGGAGGGUCUUUCGAAACUGCUAAUCUAGAGAGGGUCAGGGGCCAGCAGAAUUCUUGGUGUAGAGGUGAAAUUCGUAGAUAUCAAGAGGAAUACCGGUGGCGAAAGCGGCUGGCUGGGGCCACUCUGACGCUGAGGCGCGAAAGCGUGGGGAGCAAACAGGAUUAGAUACCCUGGUAGUCCACGCCGUAAACGAUGAGCACUGGAUGUCCGGAGGGUUCGACCCUUCUGGGUGUCUCAGCUAACGCAUUAAGUGCUCCGCCUGGGGAGUACGGU